CGGCGGACGGGUGAGUAACGCGUGGGUAACCUACCCUGUACACACGGAUAACAUACCGAAAAGUAUGCUAAUACGGGAUAAUAUAUUUGAGAGGCAUCUCUUGAAUAUCAAAGGUGAGCCAGUACAGGAUGGACCCGCGUCUGAUUAGCUAGUUGGUAAGGUAACGGCUUACCAAGGCGACGAUCAGUAGCCGACCUGAGAGGGUGAUCGGCCACAUUGGAACUGAGACACGGUCCAA
rnacentral:rRNA from 1 species